rnacentral:rRNA from 1 species
AUUGAACGCUGGCGGCAUGCUUUACACAUGCAAGUCGAACGGUAACAGGCCGCAAGGUGCUGACGAGUGGCGAACGGGUGAGUAAUGCAUCGGAACGUGCCCAGUCGUGGGGGAUAACGCAGCGAAAGCUGUGCUAAUACCGCAUACGAUCUAUGGAUGAAAGCGGGGGACCGUAAGGCCUCGCGCGAUUGGAGCGGCCGAUGUCAGAUUAGGUAGUUGGUGGGGUAAAGGCCUACCAAGCUGACGAUCUGUAGCUGGUCUGAGAGGACGACCAGCCACACUGGGACUGAGACACGGCCCAGACUCCUACGGGAGGCAGCAGUGGGGAAUUUUGGACAAUGGGCGCAAGCCUGAUCCAGCAAUGCCGCGUGCAGGAAGAAGGCCUUCGGGUUGUAAACUGCUUUUGUACGGAACGAAACGGUCUGGGUUAAUACCCUGGGCUAAAGACGGUACCGUAAGAAUAAGCACCGGCUAACUACGUGCCAGCAGCCGCAGUAAAAC